rnacentral:piRNA from 1 species
UUCGGUGCACCAUUUUCUUUUUGUCUAAUGU